rnacentral:rRNA from 1 species
GGAGUCCAACGUGUGCGCGAGUCGUUGGGUGAAAAACCCAAUGGCGUAAUUAAGGUGAAGGGAAGUUCUCUUUCCUAGGGAGGAGGGGAGCUCGCCUUUAACGGGUGGUUCUCCGCACUCCCGGGGCGUCUCUUGCUCAUUGCGAGCUGAGGCGCACCUAGAGCGUUCACGUUGGGACCCGAAAGAUGGUGAACUAUGCCUGGCCAGGACGAAGCCAGGGGAAACCCUGGUGGAGGUCCGUAGCGGUUCUGACGUGCAAAUCGAUCGUCGGAGCUGGGUAUAGGGGCGAAAGACUAAUCGAACCAUACUAGUAGCUGGUUCCCUCCGAAGUUUCCCUCAGGAUAGCUGGCGGCCAUGUGAGACGAGUCUCAUCUGGUAAAGCGAAUGAUUAGAGGCCUUGGGGUCGAAACGACCUCAACCUAUUCUCAAACUUUAAAUGGAUGAGAACCCCGGCUUGCUUGGUUCAAGUGAAGCCGGGGCUCGGAUCCGGGUGCCAAGUGGGCCAUUUUUG